UACGGGGGGGGCAAGCGUUGUUCGGAAUUACUGGGCGUAAAGGGCUCGUAGGUGGCCAACUAAGUCAGACGUGAAAUCCCUCGGCUUAACCGGGGAACUGCGUCUGAUACUGGAUGGCUUGAGUGUGGGAGAGGGAUGCGGAAUUCCAGGUGUAGCGGUGAAAUGCGUAGAUAUCAGGAGGAACACCGGUGGCGAAGGCGGCUAUCUGGACAGAGUCUGACGCUGAGGCGCGAAAGCUAGGGGAGCAAACAGG
rnacentral:rRNA from 1 species